CAAGGUUUAGAGGUGGAUGUUUCCAGUCAGAGAAAAGGAAACUGUGGAAGAAAGCCAAAGGACACUGACCUAGAGAAAAUCCCGACCAUCCCACUAAACAAGAGGUCUACUAUCAGAUCACUAGCUUGGCAGCUAGGAUGUAGCCCUGCCACACUCCAUAGAAAGUUUCAUGCUGAAGUUGAUAAGUAG
rnacentral:rRNA from 1 species